rnacentral:rRNA from 1 species
UGAGGGUCUUCCACGACUUUCGUGCCGUAGCUAACGCAUUAAGCGCCCCGCCUGGGGAGUACGGCCGCAAGGCUAAAACUCAAAGGAAUUGACGGGGGCCCGCACAAGCGGCGGAGCAUGUGGAUUAAUUCGAUGCAACGCGAAGAACCUUACCUGGGCUUGACAUAUGCACGAUCGGCGUAGUGAUACGUUUUCCCUUGUGGUCUGUAUACAGGUGGUGCAUGGUUGUCGUCAGCUCGUGUCGUGAGAUGUUGGGUUAAGUCCCGCAACGAGCGCAACCCUUGUCUUAUGUUGCCAGCACUUGAUGGUGGGGACUCAUGAGAGACUGCCGGGGUUAACUCGGAGGAAGGUGGGGAUGACGUCAAAUCAUCAUGCCCCUUAUGUCCAGGGCUUCACACAUGCUACAAUGGUCGGUACAACGCGCUGCGAGCCUGUGAGGGUGAGCGAAUCGCUGAAAGCCGGCCUCAGUUCGGAUUGGGGUCUGCAACUCGACCCCAUGAAGUCGGAGUCGCUAGUAAUCGCAGAUCAGCAACGCU